GACGAACGCUGGCGGCGUGCUUAAUACAUGCAAGUCGAGCGGGUGUAGCAAUACAUCAGCGGCGGACGGGUGAGUAACGCGUGGGCAAUCUGCCCUCUAGCCUGGGAUAACAGUUCGAAAGGACUGCUAACACCGGAUAUGCUCCCAGCCUGGCAUCAGGCAGAGAGGAAAGUUUACACUAGAGGAUGAGCCCGCGUCCCAUUAGCUAGUUGGUGAGGUAACGGCCCACCAAGGCGACGAUGGGUAGCCGACCUGAGAGGGUGAACGGCCACACUGGGACUGAGACACGGCCCAGACUCCUACGGGAGGCAGCAGUAGGGAAUUUUCCGCAAUGGACGAAAGUCUGACGGAGCAACGCCGCAUGAGGGAUGAAGGUUUUCGGAUCGUAAACCUCUGUCUUCAGGGACGAUAAUGACGGUACCUGAGGAGGAAGCCACGGCUAACUACGUGCCAGCCGCCGCGGUAA
rnacentral:rRNA from 1 species